AUUUAUAUAAUAUAUUUAGUAUACUUGACUUCCAAUCAAAUAGUUUAAUUUAAUUUAAUAUAAAUA
rnacentral:tRNA from 1 species